UUGCAACGAUGACCAUUUGGGACACCUUUGUAUUAACCAUGAAAAAGGACAUCUAAGCCAC
rnacentral:snoRNA from 1 species